UAUCACGCUAAAACACUGAAGUUAAGUACCGUCGAGCCUGGUCAGUAGUUAGAUGGGUGACCGCUUGGGAAUACCAAGUGCUGUAAG